rnacentral:lncRNA from 1 species
GCCUCAUAAGCAUUGUGGUUUCCAAAAUUAUUCCAAGUUAGGCACUGCUUCAAGUAAAAUAUGCUGCUGGCUGUGAAAUAAUGAGAGGGAUAAUAAAUAUACAAAACUUGGAAUCUCCUGAUGAAAAAUGAAAGAGAUUUUAUGAACCCAACCAGUCAAACUCAGAUGAAAAACCCCCAGUGUUCUCACCAUGAUUAAUGCUCUGGCCCUUCCAUGUGAGAAGUUCAGAUUCAAUUUCCUAUUCUGAUAUCUUGUUUUGGAGGCAGCUAUGGUGGGAAUCAUGACUAAGAGAAUGAGUUCAUCUGGUGGUGGUAAAUGUGUAGCUCUAAGGUCCUGGCAGGAGAGAAGAUGCUGCAAGCCAGAGGACACAUCACUCUAAAAGGCUUUAUAGAGAAGGCUGAGUACGGAUGGAAAAUUUAUGCCUGGAAGGAUGUUACCAUACAGAAAAGAUUUGGGGCCAUAGGGAUACUCUUACCGUUUCCACCUCACAGAGGAACAAAGUGAGGACCACAGAGACUCAACAACUGGCCUCGCGUCACAUGGUUUUUACCGUCAUGCAGCAGCACCUCUGAGAUCAGCAUGGCUAGACGUUGAAUGAUUUCCUGUUUGCUCUGUACUGCAGUCACUGGGCUCAGCUCUGGCGUUUUGGGACCUUUGGAUAUUUUGUUCAUUCAGGAUUCUGCACUUGGAUGCUCUAGUUGCCAGGCAAAGGGAUAGAUCUGAGUCGUGGUCCACCCCCCACCACAAUAAAGGACUUUGUUGAAAGCUGGCUCCA